UCCGUAGCCGGGUCGUUAAGUCUCUUGGGAAAUCCAACGGCUCAACCGUUGGGCGUUCAAGGGAUACUGGCGAUCUAGGGACUGGGGGAGGUGAGAGGUACUCUAGGGGUAGGAGUGAAAUCCUGUAAUCCUUGGGGGACCACCUGUGGCGAAGGCGUCUCACCAGAACAGCUCCGACGGUGAGGGACGAAAGCUGGGGGAGCAAACCGGAUUAGAUACCCGGGUAGUCCCAGCUGUAAACGAUGCGCGUUAGGUGUAUCGGUGACUACGAGUCACCGAGGUGCCGAAGGGAAACCGUGAAACGUGCCGCCUGGGAAGUACGGUCGCAAGGCUGAA
rnacentral:rRNA from 1 species